GUCGGGUGUAGGGAGCAUCCUUGUUAGGGUAUGGCCUCAUUAACACUUUCUUCUUUCACCCAGAUUUCCUCGGCCUGUGACUGUGGAGCCUAUGGACCAGUUAGAUGAUGAAGAGGGACUUCCGGAGAAGUUGGUUAUAAAAAACCAGCAAUUUCACAAGGAGAGAGAACAGCCACCCAGAUUUGCACAGCCUGGGUCCUUUGAGUAUGAGUAUGCCAUGCGCUGGAAGGCUCUCAUUGAGAUGGAGAAGCAACAGCAGGAUCAAGUGGACCGAAACAUCAAGGAGGCUCGUGAGAAGCUGGAGAUGGAGAUGGAGGCAGCACGCCAUGAGCACCAGGUUAUGCUAAUGAGGCAGGAUUUGAUGAGACGUCAAGAAGAGCUUCGAAGAAUGGAGGAGC
rnacentral:lncRNA from 1 species